rnacentral:rRNA from 1 species
CGUGUAGGCGGGGAAACAAGUCAGAUGUGAAAUUCCGGGGCUCAACCCCGGCACUGCAUCUGAAACUGUAUCUCUUGAGUGCUGGAGAGGAAAGCGGAAUUCCUAGUGUAGCGGUGAAAUGCGUAGAUAUUAGGAGGAACACCAGUGGCGAAGGCGGCUUUCUGGACAGUAACUGACGCUGAGGCGCGAAAGCGUGGGGAGCAAACAGGAUUAGAUACCCUGGUAGUCCACGCUGUAAACGAUGGAUACUAGGUGUAGGAGGUAUCGACCCCUUCUGUGCCGGAGUUAACACAAUAAGUAUCCCACCUGGGGAGUACGGCCGCAAGGUUGAA